rnacentral:rRNA from 1 species
AUACGGAGGGUGCAAGCGUUGUCCGGAUUUAUUGGGUUUAAAGGGUGUGUAGGCGGUGUAUUAAGUCAGUGGUGAAAGCCUGCGGCUCAACCGUAGAACUGCCAUUGAUACUGACACACUUGAGUUUGGUUGAGGUAGGCGGAAUUUAUGGUGUAGCGGUGAAGUGCAUAGAUACCAUAAAGAACACCGAUAGCGAAGGCAGCUUACUAAGCCGAAACUGACGCUGAGGCACGAAAGCGUGGGGAGCGAACAGGAUUAGAUACCCUAGUAGUCC